rnacentral:lncRNA from 1 species
GCUUUCUCAAGAUCAUCAUCGAUCUUUGCUCUAAACUCUUCGGCCCCUUGUUUUCGAAUCUUGUCAACCGGAGGCUUGUUCAUUCUUACCAAAUCUAUGCCUUGAGCAGCUACAGGAAUCGUCUGAGGUAUGGGAGGGGGUGGAGGAGGUUGAGCAUCUGGAUUUGCUUGAAUAAACUCAGUAUACCAGUUGUUCAUCAUUUGGAGAAAGGCAUCCCGAGCCUCAUCUCCUUGUCUCAAUGUCUCAGGUCUACUUUCCACAGGCGCGGUCCCUUGUGCGGGAGCCGGCGCAUUACUAGCAGCAUCAUCAGCCGCAGUUCCUUCAGGAUCCAUUACUAUAUUAAAACAAAACACAGUUUAGAAUAAUCAGGAGUCACCACACUAUCACAAUAUUUUUAUGGCAUGUAUAGCUAGACUUUUACACACACUUUAUUAGUCC